rnacentral:rRNA from 1 species
UGCCAGCAGCCGCGGUAAUACGGAGGGAGCAAACGUUGUUCGGAUUUACUGGGUGUAAAGGGUGCGUAGGCGGCCCUGUGUGUCAGAGGUGAAAUCCCACGGCUCAACCGUGGAAUUGCCUUUGAAACUGCAGGGCUUGAGUCCGAGAGGGGAAGGUGGAAUUCCUGGUGUAACGGUGAAAUGUGCAGAUAUCAGGAAGAACACCCGUGGCGAAGGCGGCCUUCUGGCUCGGAACUGACGCUGAGGCACGAAAGCUAGGGUAUCGAACGGGAUUAGAUA